rnacentral:rRNA from 1 species
GGUUACUGCUAUCGGUGUUCGCCUAAGCCAUGCGAGUCAUAUGUUCUUCGGAACAUGGCGUACUGCUCAGUAACACGUGGAUAACCUGCCCUUGGGUCCGGCAUAACCCCGGGAAACUGGGGAUAAUUCCGGAUAACGCACAUAUGCUGGAAUGCUUUAUGCGUCAAAUGGAUUCGUCCGCCCAAGGAUGGGUCUGCGGCCUAUCAGGUAGUAGUGGGUGUAAUGUACCUACUAGCCUACGACGGGUACGGGUUGUGAGAGCAAGAGCCCGGAGAUGGAUUCUGAGACAUGAAUCCAGGCCCUACGGGGCGCAGCGGGCGCGAAAACUUUACAAUGCGGGAAACCGUGAUAAGGGGACACCGAGUGCCAGCAUCAUAUGCUGGCUGUCCGGGUGUGCAAAAUACACCUGUUAGCAAGGGCCGGGCAAGACCGGUGCCAGCCGCCGCGGUAACACCGGCGGCCCGAGUGGUGAUCGUGAUUAUUGGGUCUAAAGGGUCCGUAGCCGGUUUGGUCAGUCCUCCGGGAAAUCUGACGGCUUAACCGUUAGGCUCUCGGGGGAUACUGCCAGACUUGGAACCGGGAGAGGUAAGAGGUACUACAGGGGUAGGAGUGAAAUCUUGUAAUCCCUGUGGGACCACCUGUGGCGAAGGCGUCUUACCAGAACGGGUUCGACGGUGAGGGACGAAAGCUGGGGGCACGAACCGGAUUAGAUACCCGGGUAGUCCCAGCCGUAAACGAUGCUCGCUAGGUGUCAGGCAUGGCGCGACCGUGUCUGGUGCCGCAGGGAAGCCGUGAAGCGAGCCACCUGGGAAGUACGGCCGCAAGGCUGAAACUUAA